AGUGACUCUUCUCCUGUUCAUAAGUCAAGAAAAUCACGUAGAUGUCCAGAAUGCUUGAAACCCCUUUUAUUAAAUGGGUCUUGCCAGUUAACAGGAAUCAUUGACUUGAUGUAAAUGUUCCACAUGUUUUACUGAGACAGUACACAGCCAUAAUAUUUG